rnacentral:rRNA from 1 species
UACAGAGGGUGCGAGCGUUGUUCGGAAUUACUGGGCGUAAAGCGCGCGCAGGCGGCUUUUUAAGUCCAUCGGUGAAAUGCCGGGGCUCAACCCCGUGCCUGCCGAGGAUACUGGAAGGCUGGAGACACGUAGAGGCAAGCGGAAUUCCGGGUGUAGCGGUGGAAUGCGUAGAGAUCCGGAAGAACACCGGAGGCGAAGGCGGCUUGCUGGGCGUAGUCUGACGCUGAGGCACGAAAGCGUGGGGAGCAAACAGG